rnacentral:rRNA from 1 species
GAGUUUGAUCCUGGCUCAGGACGAACGCUGGCGGCGUGCUUAACACAUGCAAGUCGAACGGAAAGGCCCUUCGGGGUACUCGAGUGGCGAACGGGUGAGUAACACGUGGGUGAUCUGCCCUGCACUCUGGGAUAAGCCUGGGAAACUGGGUCUAAUACCGGAUAGGACCACACACUUCAUGGUGAGUGGUGCAAAGCUUUUGCGGUGUGGGAUGAGCCCGCGGCCUAUCAGCUUGUUGGUGGGGUAAUGGCCCACCAAGGCGACGACGGGUAGCCGGCCUGAGAGGGUGACCGGCCACACUGGGACUGAGAUACGGCCCAGACUCCUACGGGAGGCAGCAGUGGGGAAUAUUGCACAAUGGGCGCAAGCCUGAUGCAGCGACGCCGCGUGAGGGAUGACGGCCUUCGGGUUGUAAACCUCUUUCAGUAGGGACGAAGCGAAAGUGACGGUACCUACAGAAGAAGGACCGGCCAACUACGUGCCAGCAGCCGCGGUAAUACGUAGGGUCCGAGCGUUGUCCGGAAUUACUGGGCGUAAAGAGCUCGUAGGUGGUUUGUCGCGUUGUUCGUGAAAACUCACAGCUUAACUGUGGGCGUGCGGGCGAUACGGGCAGACUAGAGUACUGCAGGGGAGACUGGAAUUCCUGGUGUAGCGGUGGAAUGCGCAGAUAUCAGGAGGAACACCGGUGGCGAAGGCGGGUCUCUGGGCAGUAACUGACGCUGAGGAGCGAAAGCGUGGGUAGCGAACAGGAUUAGAUACCCUGGUAGU